ensembl:lncRNA
CCCACAUGAAGAUGUAGAUCAAAAGCUUGUGUCUCCCAUCCUCGAGAGCUGGAUCACAGGGCACUAUCUUGGAUGUUUUAUUGCUGUGAAGAGACACCGUGACCAUAGCAGCUCUUCUAAAGGAAAUCGUGUAAUUGGGACUCACAGUUUCGGAGUGACCGGCCGAGAGUGAGCACCUGACCAGUGCUUUGGAAAUGGCUUUAUGUUUAGGUUUCGAGACGAUACAUGGUUGGAGAAAAUGUACUGUGUCUGUUACUCACUGAAUCACACGACACCUGACCAAACAACUUAAGGAAAGAAAGGCUCCUAAAAGUACAGAGGCCCCUGCUCAAGUGCCCGCCUUCGGUGUCCAUACAGCAAUGGCAAAGUGGUUUCUGAAGCCCAGAGGUGGGAGCACACAUAAAGGUUACAUCGCUUGGAUACUGAUGGAGGCUGAGAGGUCUGCCAAGCCAUUGCCAUGGGACCAGUCCCAAUCGUCAGCACUCAUCAAGUCUGUAGAACUCAUAAAUCCCCUUCCUUUAUUUGAUCUGUUGCACAGCCCCUCAAAAGGAUGACGUUGUUAACCUCUGCUUCCCCGGGCUAGAUUUGCCUUUGUUACUGAAAAGUCAAUACAGUAUCAACUAUACACUUUUGGGGCUUCUUGACUGCUGCUUCCACCUGCAACGCAAUUGCAACAUUGUAUUAGUCUCCCCCCCCAGGAGUGAGAACCGCUCACCCAGAAGCUGCUCACAUGGGUCAGCUGGUUAACCUACUUGCCGUUUUGGUUUUUUGAGACAGGGUUUCUCUGUGUAGCCCUGGCUGUCCUGGAACUCACUUUGUACUGCAGGGUGGCCUCAAACUCAGAAAUCUGCCUGUCUCUGCUUCCCGAGAAAUGGGAUUAAAGAUAUGCGCCAUCAGGCCUGGCAGUAAGUUAAUUUUAAGAAAUUUUAUUAUUUAUUUUUUUUAUCGUGUCAGAGAAUGACCCGUGUCAGUUCUCCAUCUCCUCUACAUGGACUGCGGUGUUCGCAGGUCCAGGCUUGGAGGCAAGCACUCCUACCAACUGAACUUACAUGGUGGCUCACGACUAUCUGAAACUCCAGCCCCAGGGGUUCUGACGCUCUCUUCUGACCUCUGUAAGUGGUGUACAGAUACAUGUAGGCAAGACAUCCAUAUACAUAAGUAAAAUUUUUAAAUAAAAAAGAAAUUUCUGAAGUACAAAAUAGUAACUGGGCAUGGUAACACAUACAUUUGGUCCCAGCAUUUGGGAGGAAGAUGCAGGUGAACCUCUGUGAGUUUGAGGCCAGCUGGAGGACAGCCAAGACUACAUAGCAAAA